GCAACAUCCAUGUGUGGAUUCAGGAAGCCGG
rnacentral:piRNA from 1 species